rnacentral:lncRNA from 1 species
GGUUUCCUGGCGCUAGGGCUGCGAGGAGGGGCGCGGGACGGCUUAAAUAGGGGCGCAGAGCUCUCCCUGUCGCUGCCGGAGGCCGAUGUGGAGCGGGGGGCUCACCGGCCAGGAAGAAGAAAAGCAGAGGGGAAGAAGAGCUUGUGAGAGGUGGCGCAUUCUGGAGAAGGCGCCUUCGCGGCUGGGAGGCGGAACGCGGGCGUGCGCGAUGAGGAUGGGCCGCAGCGCUGCUGGGCUGCACGGGAGAAGAUGGGCCGUGGGGCGCGUUGCUGGGCUGCGGGGCGCCGAGGCGGUUGUUGGGCCGGCUCGGGCCCGAGGUAAGUUUUCUUUUCUUUUUUUUUUCCUUUUUCCUUUUUCUGUUUUCUGUUUUCUCUUUUGCAAAUAGCCUUUGAUUCAAAAUUCAAAUACCAUUUUGAAGAGCUGAGAAAUAGGAGAAUUCAAAUAUGGUACUACUAUUUGGGAAAUAUUCAAAUGGGAUUAAAGAUUGUAAGACCCAUUUGACUCUCUUUUAUAAAAUAUAGGAAAAGGAAUUCAAACUCAAAGAAGGAAGGAUGAUUCAUAUUGAAUCUUCUAGCAAAUUCAAACAACAAGAUUUCAAACCACAAGUUAAAAUGUAAUUUCAAAUUUAUGUGAAGCAAAGAAGAGAUGACAUGGCAUGGAUGCAAAUGUAAAAUGUCAUGCAACAAGAAUUUAAAUUACAAACAGGUCCAACAAGGGCUUAAUGUAAGAUGUUGCUCUCGGGCUGUUACAAAGUGGCAAUUUCUCAUUGUACCAAACCCUAGCCUUAACUGGCUUUGCUCUUCUCUUACUCUGUGGUUUUGGUAAAAAGGUAGGAAUGGGCUGAGCACCAUCAUGAUCACAAGAAUCUACAAGGUCAACACAGUCCUCACUAUCUUGUGCACCUAUAUAUUCCUCAUCUGAACUAUUCCUCUGUGAU